rnacentral:rRNA from 1 species
ACUCCUGCGGGAGGCAGCAGUGGGGAAUUUUGGACAAUGGGCGAAAGCCUGAUCCAGCAAUGCCGCGUGAGUGAAGAAGGCCUUCGGGUUGUAAAGCUCUUUUGUCAGGGAAGAAACGGUGAAAGCUAAUAUCUUUUGCUAAUGACGGUACCUGAAGAAUAAGCACCGGCUAACUACGUGCCAGCAGCCGCGGUAAUACGUAGGGUGCAAGCGUUAAUCGGAAUUACUGGGCGUAAAGCGUGCGCAGGCGGUUUUGUAAGUCUGAUGUGAAAUCCCCGGGCUCAACCUGGGAAUUGCAUUGGGGACUGCAAGGCUAGAAUCUGGCAGAGGGGGGUAGAAUUCCACGUGUAGCAGUGAAAUGCGUAGAUAUGUGGAGGAACACCGAUGGCGAAGGCAGCCCCCUGGGUCAAGAUUGACGCUCAUGCACGAAAGCGUGGGGAGCAAACAGGAUUAGAUACCCCGGUAGUCCCAUGAU